rnacentral:miRNA from 1 species
UUGGGUUGGCCAAAAAGUUUGUUUGAGUUUUUCUGUACUAUCUUUUGGAAAAACUCAAAUGAACUUUUUGGCCAACCCAGU